rnacentral:rRNA from 1 species
GGCAGGCGGUUCAUUAAGUCCCCUGUGAAACCCCGAGGCUCAACUUCGGACAUGCAGGAGAUACUGGUGAGCUAGAGAUCGGUAGAGGCAGGCGGAAUUCCUGGUGUAGCGGUGGAAUGCGUAGAUAUCAGGAAGAACACCUGUGGCGAAGGCGGCCUGCUGGGCCGAUUCUGACGCUGAUCCGCGAAAGCGUGGGGAGCAAACA